rnacentral:rRNA from 1 species
CCUACGGGUGGCAGCAGUGGGGAAUAUUGGACAAUGGGGGCAACCCUGAUCCAGCGACGCCGCGUGUGUGAAGAAGGCCUGCGGGUUGUAAAGCACUUUUAGUGGGGAUGAAAAGUGCAGAGAUAACACCUCUGCAUCUUGACCUAACCCACAGAAAAAGCACCGGCUAACUCUGUGCCAGCAGCCGCGGUAAUACAGAGGGUGCAAGCGUUAAUCGGAAUUACUGGGCGUAAAGCGUGCGCAGACGGUUGCGUAAGUCAGAUGUGAAAGCCCCGGGCUCAACCUGGGAAUUGCAUUUGAGACUGCGUAGCUAGGGUGCGGAAGAGGGAAGCGGAAUUUCCGGUGUAGCGGUGAAAUGCGUAGAUAUCGGAAGGAACACCAGUGGCGAAAGCGGCUUCCUGGUCCAGCACCGACGUUCAGGCACGAAAGCGUGGGGAGCA